AUAUCGAACGAGCGUAUAUCCGCGUGCC
rnacentral:sRNA from 1 species